UGUGUGUGUGUGUGUGUGUGUCCAACUAGUGGACAGAGGCAUGGGAGACAUGUGCAAAAAUAAAUCCUCUUUUGCAACCCAGAGCUCAUUUUCAAUACAAGUUUUGAUACGCACAAGAAGGACUAGG
ensembl:snoRNA